AACUAACGCUGGCGGCGUGCCUAACACAUGCAAGUCGUACGAGAAAGUUGGCUUCGGCCGAUGAGUAAAGUGGCGCACGGGUGAGUAAUGCGUGGAUAAUCUACCCUUUAGUCCGGAAUAACUUGCCGAAAGGUGAACUAAUACCGGAUGACAUCCCGGGUUCUCCGGAAACCGGGAUCAAAGAAGGCCUCUGCUUGCAAGCUUUUGCUGAAGGAUGAGUCCGCGUACCAUUAGCUGGUUGGUGGGGUAAUGGCCUACCAAGGCUACGAUGGUUAGCUGGUCUGAGAGGAUGAUCAGCCACACUGGAACUGAGACACGGUCCAGACUCCUACGGGAGGCAGCAGUGAGGAAUAUUGCGCAAUGGGGGCAACCCUGACGCAGCAACGCCGCGUGAACGAUGAAUCCCUUCGGGUGUAAAGUUCUUUUAUAUGUGAGCAGUGCUUCUUAUAUUAACAGUAUGGGGAGAGAGAUAUUAGCAUAUGAAUAAGCAAC
rnacentral:rRNA from 1 species